AUCCUGGCUUAGGAUGAACGCUAGCGACAGGCUAACACAUGCAAGUCGAGGGGCAGCAUAAAAGUAGCAAUACUUGGUGGCGACCGGCGCACGGGUGAGUAACGCGUAUGCAACCUACCUAUCAGAGGGGAAUAACCCGGCGAAAGUCGGACUAAUACCGCAUAAAACAGGGGCACCGCAUGGUGAUAUUUGUUAAAGAAAUUCGCUGAUAGAUGGGCAUGCGUUCCAUUAGGUAGUUGGUGAGGUAACGGCUCACCAAGCCGACGAUGGAUAGGGGAACUGAGAGGUUGGUCCCCCACACUGGUACUGAGGCACGGACCAGACUCCUACGGGAGGCAGCAGUGAGGAAUAUUGGUCAAUGGGCGAGAGCCUGAACCAGCCAAGUCGCGUGAAGGAAGAAGGAUCUAUGGUUCGUAAACUUCUUUUGCAGGGGAAUAAAGUGCAGGACGUGUCCUGUUUUGUAUGUACCCUGAGAAUAAGGAUCGGCUAACUCCGUGCCAGCAGCGGC
rnacentral:rRNA from 1 species